rnacentral:misc_RNA from 1 species
UGAUUGUAUGAGGAAAAAAUGCUCAUUCAUCAAGGAUUUUGGUUCUGUGCAAACAAUAAGACUGGUGGUAAGUGAUGAGAUGGGAUUAGCAAUUAGUUUCCAUUUAAGAAAAGUUGGAAGUGGUGUUGAUUGAUUGCAAUGCACAAAGUUAGCUGAGAAAGUAUGGCCCUGUCUGCAAUACAAAUGAGUUAUACAUCAUUGCUGGAGUCAUAGUGCUGUAGUUCUUGUCUAGGUUGUAGUUCACAGAUUGGUAGUUAAGUUUGAUGCAAUUAUGGGAUUACUCACCUUAUAAUCAAAUCUACUAAGUACAAUUGAGCUAAAUUUUAGAGGUGAAACAUAUGUGAAUUAUUUGAGCUAGCAAAUUACAUG